AACGAACGCUGGCGGCGUGGAUAAGACAUGCAAGUCGAACGGGACAAUGUUGUAGCAAUAUGAUGUUGUUCAGUGGCGAACGGGUGCGUAACACGUGGAUACAUUCCGGGAAGCGGGGGAUAGCCCAGGGAAACUUGGAUUAAUACCGCAUGUGGUCGAAAGACUAAAGACGGGGAUCGAAAGACCUGUCACUUCCUGAUUGGUCCGCGGCCUAUCAGCUAGUUGGUGAGGUAAUGGCUCACCAAGGCUACGACGGGUAGCUGGUCUAAGAGGACGACCAGCCACACUGGAACUGAGACACGGUCCAGACACCUACGGGUGGCAGCAGUCGAGAAUCUUUCACAAUGGGGGCAACCCUGAUGGAGCGACGCCGCGUGGAGGAUAAGGUCUUCGGAUUGUAAACUCCUGUCAUGCGAGAGCAAUGUGCGCAGGCUAAUACCCUGCAAAACUGAUAGUAUCGCAAGAGGAAGAGACGGCUAACUCUGUGCCAGCAGCCGCCGCAG
rnacentral:rRNA from 1 species